CCUCUUUCAUGUGAGUUGGGACCUGGUAUUCUUGGAAAAAUCUUUGAUGGGAUCCAGCGUCCUCUGAAAACUAUUGCUAUUAAAUCCGGAGAUGUCUACAUUCCACGUGGUGUUUCAGUCCCUGCUCUUGACAAAGAUCAGCUGUGGGAGUUCCAGCCAAACAAGCUAGAUAUGGUAUAGCAAUGUUCCUCAUACCAAGCUGGUGCAGUACAAGGGGCAGCAGAACUGGGUUAAUGUCUCUGGGGAGCAUCUGGUCUUUCCGGGAGGCGGAACUCAGAUCAAGCAUGGUGCUCUGCAUUACAUUGAUUUCAUUCAGG